CUCAGGUGCCACUCAAAAUUAUGACCUCACAAUGUGGACAGUUUCAUACUCUUGCUGUCCACUUCAAGUUUCUUUACAGAACACAGAAGAUUCCUCUUUUACUUUCACUUUUCUGAGCUGUUUCCUCAAAGAAAGGUAGUAAAUGGCGAGAAGAAAGGAGAAGGGAAGAAGAAAACAAAUGAGAUACUCCACAAAGAUAAAUGUGAAAAUACAACCUGAAAUAGUAAGUAAUCUGCAGAGCCUGAGAUUUUACAUGCAAACUGCAUUAAAACAUUAAUCAUGUAAUGAUCUGUGUAACAUUAAUGAUGUAGUACAUUCACAUAGGAUGAAAAAAAAAAAAACAAACAAAGGAAGAUGUAAGUCUAGUUCUGACACAGCUUUUCAAUGUGAAGUUGCUUAAGUUUAGUCACCUGUGUUCUCAAUAAAGGCUAUACAACUUCUGUUUUCCUAUCUCA
rnacentral:lncRNA from 1 species